UUUAGUUUUUGUUAAGAAUUUUCUUUUCAAAAUAAUUUUAAAUAUUUUCUACUCUUUGUAGGUUGUUAUUACAGGAUUAUCUACUUACUAACAAGGAUGUUGCGCGUGAGCAACUUUAAGAAGGGCGAUGAAAGGACAUUUGAUUAUUUUGGAAUGUUGUAUCGUGAACAGCUAGGUGAUGAUGAUGAGUUUAAAACCAGUUCUCCUUGGAUGCUUUGAGGGGCCAAGAGUUUCAUGAGAUAUUCAGGAUUACUCGCCCCCGUUUCCGUGAAUCUUUGGAGCGUUAUGAGACAAUUAGACAAUUCCAAAUUAUAGCUUACUUCCGACAACUAUCUCCGUUGUUCAUCUAUGAACUUUC